CUACGCCUACGGGGGGCAGCAGUGGGGAAUAUUGCACAAUGGGGGAAACCCUGAUGCAGCGACGCCGCGUGAGUGAAGAAGUAUUUCGGUAUGUAAAGCUCUAUCAGCAGGAACGAGACAAGACGGUACCUGACUAAGAAGCCCCGGCUAACUACGUGCCAGCAGCCGCGGUAAUACGGAGGAUGCGAGCGUUAUCCGGAUUUAUUGGGUUUAAAGGGUGCGUAGGCGGGACGGUAAGUCAGCGGUGAAAAUGCGGAGCUCAACUCCGUCGAGCCGUUGAAACUGCCGUUCU
rnacentral:rRNA from 1 species